GCAGCGAAGCAGGCAGCGAAGCAGGCAGUGGAACCAGGCCGAGCAGGAGGUGUUGUCGGGCUCCUGGUGAUACGAUGGUGGAGUGUGAGGAGCUCUGCUUGGUGACAACUACCAGUCUCCCUGCUAUGCCCGUACAUGGGCGCGGGCGAGCUACCCUGGGGGGUUGUGUUUAGGUUAGCGGCAGAACAUGGCACACUGGUCAGUGCAUAAAUCAUCAGCUACCGUAAACAUGUCGCAGCGUUGAGAUUAGCGACAGGACAGCCCUCCACUACAGCUCCUGCUACUAUACUCUAGUUUCCAUCGCACUGUGGUUUUGUUAGAGUACCUACGUUAGCCUUAGGCUGCGUUAGCAUGUUAGCGUUAUGCUAGGUUAGCAUAACUUCUGCUGCUGCCAGGCAUGAUCACAUUGUGGUGAAGGAAUCGGGAACACACAGGACACGCAUAAUUAAACUUAUCUGUAAAGCUUCUAAAAUAAUGCACUUGGAUAUCCAAGGAACACACAGUCCGUGGAGCUAACUGACUGAAUUUGUAGUGACGACUGAAUGAAUCCAUCUUUAAGAUCCUUUUUACCGAGUACAUCAGACUCUGUGUACAGGAUGGAUAUGUUUAAUACUUGAAAAGACACUGUGUCUUUUCUGCCUAGCAUCACAUCCAGGCCUAUGUCAUGAGACCGAGGGUUCAGAAAAGCCUCAGAGCUCUGUGGUAACAGCGUCUGAGCUACGAUCUGGUUAGCACCCCUGGCUACAGAACAGCAGUUUGGCUAAUGGGUUGAGGAGGCCGACCAGGCGCUGGGACUGGGCUCAGGAUCAGAGUGUUGUGGACGUUGGCAGGUCAGUGUUUGUUGAGGUCAGGUGACCCUUCUCACCAACGUCCACUGGCCUGUGGUUCUGAUCCGUCCCCAGAGUGUGUACACCGAGCAAUAAGUCCUGAUGCAUUAUUAUAUGAACCUGGAUUUGUGGUGGCAGGGUCCCUACUUAUAAUAAAUUGAUAUUAUAUUUUACAGCAGCGAUAAGGCUGUACAGUUGCUGUUUUUUAUUUUCUAUGUGUAUUGCACAGUUCUUUGAAUCAAUAGGAAAUGUUGAUGUAAUGAUUAGAUAGCUAGGAGGAGGAGGAGUUGACUGGAACCUAUUUUGUAUUUUAUUUUUAUUCGGCACUGAUCGAUUCAGGACCAGAACGAGAAGCAACUGCACAUACUGUACAUCAGUCUGAGAGCGGUUCUCCAGGUCUGAGAACGGUUCUCCAGGUCUGAGAACGGUUCUCCAGGUCUGAGAGCGGUUCUCCAGGUCUGUGAACGGUUCUCCAGGUCCGAGAGCGGUUCUCCACGUCUGAGAAAGGUGCUCACGGUAUGGCAGCCAAUUGUUUCCUGGCCUGUAAUUGACUUGAAUCUGGAACAUUUUGAGUUUGGAUUCCAGACGUUUAUAAUAGUUUAUGAUUGAUUUAAGAAUGAGUCGCUGGAAGGCAAAGUGGAGAUGUAGACGAGAAGACCAAACAGACCAUGGAUUCAGACCUGAAUCCUGAUCCAUGUGAGAGGCUGUGCUGCCUGUGCUGGAGUCAGUCUCCAUCGGGAACCCAGGCUUCUACACCUUUGAACCAUGCCUCAUGUAUUUAUUUUGUAUUUUAUUUCAUCAAUCUAAACCUGUGAUUUGGCAGCAUUUUCCCAACGAGGAAUCAUUAUCAUUUGCAAUAGAUCUAGGCCUGAGAGAACUUGGAAUCUUGAAAAGUGUUCUCCUAAAUUAUAACUUUAUUUAUAGGUAUAUAGAUAAAUAAUAAUAAUCAGGUUAUAAUUAUAAUUGAAGCUUAUCAAAAAGGCUUAAACGUGUUAAUAAAUAUGUAUGAUCCAUG